CCUGCCUUUAUUCUUCCUGACGUCAGUAGAAGGGAGCCAACCCACGCUUUUGUAUUCGGCUCGGUGACGGUAAAAUGGCCGCUGGUUGGCUUCUUUUUUCAUACAAAGGCGUUGCAAGUCCAGUUGUUUUUAUAUACGCCCGUGGUCUCGGUACGUAUCCAGAGCAGAAACGAAGACGUCACAAAAGAGAUCCCGACUUGAGUCAUAGUCUAAGAUAAGCCAGGCACUCCGUGCUAUCGACGUCCCUUAACCGUGCGAGGUAGAAACUCACGCUGCCUGGCCGGCCUGGCGGGCCACGGACAGACACCCACUGCAUUCAAACAACACGUGGUGCGGUGGCACACGUGCACGUUGAGUGACGGUACUACUGGUACUGUACGAGUAUACUGAGCGCAUGGUGGUCGCUUUUUAUCCGUUUAUUUUCGCGUUUAGUUUUGUGUGUCAUCACGACAACACGUAAGAAAUUAGUCUCUGAGAAAUUGCUAGCACACCUACGUGAUAUGGAUUACAUUCAAGAUGGCGGCCGGCAAGGCGGGAAAAUUCGGCGUGCAUGUAUGGACAUAUGUGUUACUGAGUGUCUGUGUGCUCCUAGCUACAAGUCUGCACAACACUUAUCAUAGCUUCUGUGGUAUCCCUAGCCCAUUAUCACCCGUCCAGCAACAGUCAUCAGAUCAAGCCCCUUAUUGUCACAAUAGCUGCUCUUGGAACAGUGAUGGAGGUCCAAGCAAGACGGUCAGAUCGUGGAAUCAAAGAGGGCAAGCAGUCUACAACCUUUAGAAGAGGAGUUUAAAAAAAGGGCAAUUGUUGGCAAGUGGAUAGAAGCAGAGAUGGUAGUGAGAGUGGAAGAAACGUGCUGUCCAUCCAGGAGAAGUCUGUCUUCUGCAGUGACUAUGGGAUGUCUGUCCAUCACAGGUGGCUUCCCAGUUAAUGCUGGUACACCAUUUACACUCCAGGGAGGAUCAAGAGAGGCAAGCAGGGGUGAAGUGGCUAGCCAAGGGCCACAACAUACUGCCAGCAGCUGGAUUCGAACC